ensembl:lncRNA
CACACACACACAUAAACCCCUCGCCUCAUAGGCAGACACACACACACACACACAAACCCCUCGCCUCAUAGGCAGACACACACACACACACACAAACCCCUUCGCUCAUAGGCAGACACACACACACAUAUAAACCCCUCGCCUCAUAUGCAGACACACACACACACUUAAACCCCUCGCCUCAUAGGCAGACACACACACACAUAUAAACCCCUCGCCUCAUAUGCAGACACACACACACACUUAAACCCCUCGCCUCAUGCAGGCAGACACACACAAACCCCUCGCCUCAUAGGCAGACACACACAAACCCCUCGCCUCAUAGGCAGACACACACAAACCCCUCGCCUCAUAGGCAGACACACACACACACACACAUAAACCCCUCGCCUCAUAGGCAGACACACACACACACAUAAACCCCUCGCCUCAUAGGCAGACACACACACAAACCCCCCUGAAACCACUCAGAUAUACAAUACUACACUACCAAAGAAACAUUCUCCUACAGUACGUUAUUGACCCAUGACUCAUAACACAGUGAACUCCAAAAGUAUUGGGACAGUGACACGUGUUGGCUCUGUACACCCUCACUUCAGAUAUGAAACGAUACAAUGACUAUGAAAAAAGUUCAGACUAUCAACUUUAAUUUGAGGGUGUUUUCAUCUACAUGUACCAGUCAAAAUUCAAGGGUUUUUCUUUAUUUUGACUAUUUUCUACAUUGUAGAACAAUAGUGAAGACAUCAACACUAUGAAAUAACACAUGUUAAAUUAAGACAUUCUCUCAACCAACUCUAUGAGGUAGUCACUCUUGGCAUUCUCUCAGCCAGCUCCAUGAGGUAGUCACUCUUGGCAUUCUCUCAGCCAGUUCCAUGAGGUAGUCACCCUUGGCAUUCUCUCAGCCAGCUCUAUGAGGUAGUCACUCUUGGCAUUCUCUCAGCCAACUUCAUGAGGUAGUCACUCUUGGCAUUCUCUCAGCCAACUUCAUGAGGUAGUCACUCUUGGCAUUCUCUCAGCCAGCUCUAUGAGGUAGUCACUCUUGGCAUUCUCUCAGCCAGCUCCAUGAGGUAGUCACCCUUGGCAUUCUCUCAGCCAGCUCUAUGAGGUAGUCACUCUUGGCAUUCUCUCAGCCAGCUCCAUGAGGUAGUCACUCUUGGCAUUCUCUCAGCCAGCUUCAUGAGGUAGUCUCUCUUGGCAUUCUCUCAGCCAGCUUCAUGAGGUAGUCACUCUUGGCAUUCUCUCAACCAGCUUCAUGAGGUAGUCACUCUUGGCAUUCUCUCACCCAGCUCUAUGAGGUAGUCACUCUUGGCAUUCUCUCAGCCAGCUUCAUGAGGUAGUCACUCUUGGCAUUCUCUCAGCCAGCUCUAUGAGGUAGUCACUCUUGGCAUUCUCUCAGCCAGCUUCAUGAGGUAGUCACUCUUGGCAUUCUCUCAGCCAGCUCUAUGAGGUAGUCUCUCUUGGCAAGACUUUGGCAAAAGAAAAGUAGAGCAAAAGUUGUAAAUUAUCACUGGUUUCUUGUCGGAGAGCGAUUAGUUCAUGAUGAUGUGUUAAUAGUGAUGAGUUAAUGAUGAUGUAUUGAUGAUAAUGUGUUAAUAGUGAUGUGUAGUUAAUAGUGAUGAGUUAAUGAUGAUGUGUUAAUGAUGAUGAGUUAAUCGUGAUGAGUUAAUCGUGAUGUGUUAAUGAUGAUUUGUUAAUGAUGAUGACUUAAUAGUGAUGUGUUAAUGAGGAUGUGUUAAUGAUGAUGUGUUAAUGAUGAUGUGCUAAUAGUGGUGUGUUAAUGACUAUAUGUUAAUAGUGGUGUGUUAAUGAUGAUGUGUUAAUGAUGAUGAGUUAAUAGUGAUGUGAUAAUGAUGAUGUGUUAAUAGUGGUGUGUUAAUGAUGACGUGUUAAUGAUGGUGUUAAUAGUUAUGUGAUAAUGAUGUAUCAAUGAUGAUGUGUUAAUAGUGCUGUGUUUAUGAUGUGUUAAUGAUGAUGUGUUAAUAGUGAUGUGUUAAUGGUGAUGUGUUAAUGAUGAUGCGCUAAUGAUGAUGCGUUAAUGAUGAUGUGUUAAUGAUGUGUUAAUAGUGAUGUGUUAAUGAUGAGUUUAUGAUGUGUUAAUGAUGAUGUGCUAAUGAUGAUGUGCUAAUGAUGAUGUGCUAAUGAUGAUGUGCUAAUGAUGUGUUAAUAGUGAUAUGUUAAUGAUGAUGUGUUUCUUGUUGUAGGGCGAUGUGUUAAUAAUAAUGUUUACUUGGGGAGAUCCAUUUGAGGUUAACAAUGAUUUAGGAAAGUUAGAGUAUCUGUCUACACAUGUAAAGAUGGGGAUAGAUGAGAUACGCUGUCAGAGCCUUAGGGGUUUGAUGAAGAGUAUCUGUCUACACAUGUA